rfam:Oryza glumipatula chromosome 8, whole genome shotgun sequence.
AAAUAAUGUAGUUUUGCAUUGUUUAUGUCUAACGUGACUCUCCGUAUUAUUUGAAAUUUUUUUAAGAUUAGUAUUUUUGUUAUUAUUAGAUGAUAAAAUAUGAAUAGUACUUUAUGUGUGAUUAUUUUUUUCAAAUAAUACGGCCAGUCUAACGUUGUACACGGAAACCCACAACUAGAAUUAAA